GGAAAGAAACUAACAAGGAUUCCCCUAGUAACUGCGAGUGAAGCGGGAAAAGCUCAAAUUUAAAAUCUGGUAGUCUUUGGCUGCCCGAGUUGUAAUCUAGAGAAGUGUUAUCCGCGCUGGACCGUGUACAAGUCUCCUGGAAUGGAGCGUCAUAGAGGGUGAGAAUCCCGUCUUUGACACGGACUGCCAGGGCUUUGUGAUGCGCUCUCAAAGAGUCGAGUUGUUUGGGAAUGCAGCUCUAAAUGGGUGGUAAAUUCCAUCUAAAGCUAAAUAUUGGCGAGAGACCGAUAGCGAACAAGUACCGUGAGGGAAAGAUGAAAAGAACUUUGGAAAGAGAGUUAAACAGUACGUGAAAUUGUUGAAAGGGAAACGCUUGAAGUCAGUCGCGUUGGCCGGGGAUCAACCUUGCUUUUCUGCUUGGUGUACUUCCUGGUUGAUGGGUCAGCAUCAAUUUUGACCAGUGGAAAAAGGUCAGGGGAAUGUGGCAUCUUCGGAUGUGUUAUAGCCCUUGGUUGCAUACAUUGGUUGGGAUUGAGGAACUCAGCACGCCGCAAGGCCGGGUUUUUACCACGUUCGUGCUUAGGAUGCUGGCAUAAUGGCUUUAAUCGACCCGUCUUGAAACACGGACCAAGGAGUCUAACAUGCCUGCAAGUGUUUGGGUGGAAAACCCAAGCGCGUAAUGAAAGUGAAAGUUGGGAUCCCUGUCGUGGGGAGCACCGACGCCCGGACCAGAYCUUCUGUGACGGUUCCGCGGUGGAGCAUGUAUGUUGGGACCCGAAAGAUGGUGAACUAUGCCUGAAUAGGGUGAAGCCAGAGGAAACUCUGGUGGAGGCUCGUAGCGAUUCUGACGUGCAAAUCGAUCGUCGAAUU
rnacentral:rRNA from 1 species